GACGAACGCUGGCGGCGUGCUUAACACAUGCAAGUCGAACGGGAAGGCCCUGCUUUUGUGGCGGGCUCGAGUGGCGAACGGGUGGGUAACACGUGAGUAGCCUGACCUUGACUUUGGGAUAACUUCAGGAAACUGGGGCUAAUACCGGAUAGGAGCUCCUGCUGCAGGGUGGGGGCUGGAAAGUUUCGGCGGUGGGGGAUGGACUCGCGGCUUAUCAGCCUGUUGGUGGGGUAGUGGCUUACCAAGGCUUUGACGGGUAGCCGGCCUGAGAGGGGGACGGGCAACAGUGGGGCUGAGAUACGGCGCAGACUCCUACGGGAGGCAGCAGUGGGGAAUAUUGCACAAUGGGGGGAGGCCGGAUGCAGCAGCGCCGCGUGCUGGAUGACGGCCUUCGGGUUGUAAACCGCUUUCGCCUGCGACGAAGCGGGAGUGACGGUAAUGGGUAAAGAAGCACCGGCUAACUACGUG
rnacentral:rRNA from 1 species